rnacentral:lncRNA from 10 species
UUGUGGGUGCCACGCCUGGCCCCGAGUGUGUUGGGGAAGGUAAAGAACCUCCACUUUGGUCUUCUCAGUUCCCUUCCUGGCACUGUGCAGCCGUGGAGGAGAAAUCUGGGUUGAAUCUGGGUCUAGUGUUCAAGAGGAGGGCCUGGCAGAAACCAAGAGUGAAGGGGUGGAACCACAGCUCCCUGUGGACUGCCCCGUCCUCAGUCCCCGGUGCCCCAGCUGCACAGAGGAAGUGAUGACAGCCAGAUGAAGGUGCAACAGUGCCCAGCUCUGGAAACUCCACCCUUGUAAAUCAAAGGCCUGUGGUCUCAGUUUCUUCAUCCGUAAAAGGGCCAUUGUAAAUACCGAGUAAGCUAGAACAUGAACUGCCUGGCAUCCAGCAGCCCAAGCCUGCGUGAACCACACCAGAGGGACAUCCUGCGCAGGCCACCUCUUUCUGCUUGCUUCUUCUUGUCUUCCUCACCACCCCUCCCAUUUGCUUCUGCCCUCAUCCAGAUUUUCCAGUCUUGGCCUUUGUUCAGCCAACAUUUGUUGUUACUCUAGCCCUGCUGUAAACUCAGUGAAAAUAACAGAUUGCCCAGGUGAUGGAGGUUAAUAUCAACAGCAAGAAGUCAAAUACGAGUUAUUAAUAGAAAUCAUGUACCCUUCAGCCGGGUGCUCAUGCUUGUAAUCCCAGCACUUUGGGAGGCGAGGUGGGCAGAUUGCUUGAGCCCAGCAGUUUGCGACCAACCUGGGUAACACAGUGAGACUUUGUCUCUACAAAAAAUUUAAAAAAAAAAUUAGCUAGGUGUGGUGGCAUCCACCUGUGGCCCCACUACUUAGGAGGCUGAGGUGGAAGGAUUGCUUGAGCCUAGAAGGUUGAGGCUACAGUGAGCUGAGAUCACGCCACUGCACUCUAGCUUGGGUGACAGAGCAAGACCCUGUCUCAACUACAAAAAAAAGAGAGAGAAAUAAAAUAAAAUAAAGUAAAACAAAACAAAACAGAGUCAUUGACCUUGACAUUGCCCAGUUCUCAAGGCUCUUUUACUCUUGUGUCUUACAAUCACCAUGUGGGAUAAGUCCUGGGAUCCCCAUUUUACAGAUGCAGAGACUGAGGCUCAGAGAAAGGAAGCAGCUUGCCAGAGCUGGAGCCCAAACCCAGAUCUUCCUGGUUAUCUCAGGGCCUCACCUCCUUUUUUUGUGCCUCCUACCCGGGGCCUGGCUCUGUAGGCUAACUUCCUUUAGAGGCUACGGGCCACCCAUCUGGGAUGUGGGAAAUAGGGACAGAUAUAACUGCUGGGGCCUGGAGAGGGAGACUCCCCUUUGUACCAAGGGCUCAGAUGGAACUGAGGGCCUGUGCAGGGGAAGGCAGCAGGUGGGCAGGGGCUGGGGAGGCCUCAAGGUGAGACUCAGGGAGACACUGGAAGGCCAAGGGCACAGGGCAGAGGUAGGAGGUCAAGGUUGCUAACUGCCCCUUGGAGAAGGCAGCAGCCCUGCCAGCCUGUGAGCCAACCACUCUGGCGUGGCCCCGAGUCCCAGGGCUGGGCUCCCGUGAAUGUGCUGGCAGCAGGAGACUUGCCUCCACACACACAGCGCUGGGAAGCACUCACUCACAUGGCCCAGUGUUGACUCAACUGCCAGAGGCCCUGGGGGGCACCGGGAAUCUUACCUAGUGUUGCUGGCCCAUUCUUCAGUGCCUGCUGUGGAGGCCACCCCAUGCCCAAGCCCCAAACCUGGUCAGCAGCCUCUCACUCCUACCUGAUACAGGCCACUGACCUGCCCACCCUGUCCACUUGCCUGGCAACCUCCAUCAAUCAUCUCUGGUCCUCUGUCCAGGCCCACUGGGCUCUGUCCCCUCGGCAUGCCUUCCCCGGUGACCCCCUGACCCCCUUGAUCUCCUACUGUAGCUCCCUUUAGUCUUUCAGCUCCUGGCUAGCUCCUGGCAGAACUUUCUUUUUUCUUUUUCUUUUUUUUUUUUUUUUUUUGAGACAGAAUCUCACUCUGUCACCCAGGCUGGAGUACAGUCACUUAAUCUUGGCUCACUGUAACCUCUGCCUCCUGGGUUCAAGCAAUUCAAUUCUCCUGCCUCAGCCUCCCGAGUAGCUGGGACUACAGGCGCCCGCCACCAUGCCCGGCUAAUUUUUGUAUUUUUAGUAGAGAUGGGAUUUCACCACGUUGGCCAGGCUGGUCUCGAACUCCUGACUUCAGAUGAUCCACCCACCUCCGCCUCCCAAAGUGCUGGGAUUACAGAUGUGAGCCAUGGCUCUUGUUGUUGUUGUUUUUUUUUUUAAGAGACUAGGUCUCGCUCUGUCACCCAGGCUGGAGUGCAGUGGUGUGAUCAUGGCUCACUGCAGCCUCUAAACUCAUGGGAUCAAGUGAUGCUCUUGCCUCAGCUUCCUGAGUAGCUGGGACCACAGGUGGGUAGCACCAUGCCUAGCUAAUUUUAAACAUUUUUUUUGUAGAGACAAGGUCUCAUUGUAUUGCCCGGGCUGUUCUAACUCCUGGGCUCAAGCGAUCCUCCGGCCUCAGCCUCCUAAAGUGAUGGGAUUACAGUCAUGAGUCACCAUGCUUGGCCUGGGCAGGACUUUCUCAAGUGGAACUGCCUCACACACAGACUCCCUGGAGCUGGCAGGAUGAAGCCCAUGAACCUUGGCCUGGCUUGCUAAACCCUCCCUCCCGACUCCCUCAGGAGUUCGAGUCUGCCUUCUUUCUCCGGCUGGCUCCUCAGCUUAACGCGCUUUCCUCCAGGCAGCUCUCUCGGGCUUCGCAGUGACCCUUCCUCGGUGCUCCGCGGCAGCAUGCUUCUGGCAUCUCAUCCCAACACAGUGAAGAGCAGCCAAGUGCGGCUGUGUGGCCCUGACCAAGUCAUUUCACUUCAAUUUUAUGCUUUGGCUUUCACAUCUUUCCACGGACGUGAAUGGAGAUGAUCAUGGUGCCGACCCCAAAGGAUCCUUACACGUCUUAAAAAAGUGAGCCACGGAAAGGCCUCAGCCCAGUGCCUAGCAGAGAAGCAGCACAUGGGAGGGAAGGAACGACCAGAGAAGACCCGUGGUGUGCCAGGCACUAGACCUGGGGCUCGGUGGCACAUGUCAGCUCCUUGCAAGUGUGAAACAACUGGAGUGCAGCGAGCAUCAGUAACUCACCCUAAGUCACACAUCUGGUAAACAGCAAAGCCUGGAUUUGAACCCAGGUUUUCCCAUGACAUCAGAUAAGACGGCAAUCACCACCUCCUUCUAACCCACCCUGCCUCACCUGCUCCAUCCUUACGACUUCAGGUGUCACCUCCCAGCUGGGUUUAAGGGGCUGAGUUGUCCACUCUGAUCUUCUCCAAGCACAAACUGCAAAGCAGACCAGAAAGCAGCUGGUCCUGACUCCAGGGCUACCCACAGAUGCCCCUGCACCUCCUCAUGCUCCUGUGCUCCUGUGUGAUGUCCUGGACUGUGUGAUGACCAGGCUGGGGAAGUCCCAAUCUGAAGAGACCAAGCGCUCUCUGACAAUGUGCUGAUCUAAUCACGUACAACUUAAGACAAAGUUAACCCGUCUCAUUGAAUGAUAUGGUAUAAUGGUGAUGACUGAGCUGCCCAGUAAUUGUGCUCAACCAGGAAGCAGCUCAUGGAGUCAGUUGUAAUUAGUAUUUGUGUUACACAGGUGAGUGGGUGGGUGAGGGCUGGGCAGAGGGAGGAGGAAGUGGGUGGGGCAGGAAGCUCUGGGGACUCCUUGGAUCCAUGAACCCCAUGCCAGCCAACUCAUGUGGUUGAUCCUGUCUAACCUUCAUGAUGACCUCAUGAUGUACUGUUAUCUCUCUUCUAAGGUGAGAAAACAGGCUCAGAGAAGUCCAUUCACUUGUCCAAGAUCAGACAGCUAGAAAAUGACAGAGCCAGGGUUCCCUCUUCAGCCCAGGCGAUGUCUUGGACAGCAGAAGGAACAGGAAUAGGGCUGGGAGGCUGGAGAUCCACAUCUCGGUCCCAGUUCUAACACUGCCUUACCCUGGGCCUCAGCAAGUAGCAUCCCUCUUCAGGAUACAAAGAGAUAGUAUGUCUGUCAGGUUGCAGACGGCUGAGGGUGUGGACUUGGGAGCUAGGCUCCUUGGAUUCUAAUCCUUGGGCAAGCUACUUCACCAUCUGAGCCUCAGUGUCCUCAUCUGUAAAAUGGAGAUGACAACAGUGUCUCCCUCAUAGGCUUGUGAAGAUAAAACGAGUAACAAGACUUAGAACAAUGCCUGAAUAUUAUUGUCAUUUAUGGGGAAAAAAUGAGCUUUGCUGUCCAUUUUUCAUCUGUAAAAUGGGGAAGUAGUUGCUGGAUCUGAACAGUGGUUUGCAAACAGAUUUUUUUUCAUUCCAUAGAGUCCUUUAUUUAAAAAACUAAACACAGCAACCCAAAAUACAAAAGAGAUGUAAGUGGAGCUGCCACUUAGGCACUCAAUGAGCUCAUAUCCUGACCCUGAACCCAGCUCCCUCAGGGGUUCUAAGGAAUGGAGUUUGAAAAAUCACUCAACUGUCUCUGAGAACUGGUGGCUCUAAGCUGAGAUCAGGGUCGGGUGGAAGCAGGAAACCAUGGCAUGGGCCAGGAUGCUGCUCACCCACUGGAGGCAGCACAUGGGGGCUGUGGGACACGCAGGGUUCCCUGCUGCUGGCCUGCUGGCUGCCACCAUUCCAGCUGGACAACAGUAUCCCCAGGAGGCGGCUGAGAAGCAGGGAGAAGAACACCAGGCUUGGAGUCAGGUGGGUGGCUCUGGGCAGGUCGUGUCCCUCUCUGGGGCCCAUUUUCCUCACCUCUAAGAGAGGGAUGGUAACACUGCACUCAUCAGGGGUCCUAAGGACAAAAUUGCAUCACACAUGUGAAAAGGCUUUGCAACGGAAAGACUGCCCUGAAUGACUUUUUUUUUUUUGAGACAGAGUCUUGCUCUGUUGCCCUAGCUGGAGUGUAGUAGUGCAAACUCAGCUCACUCCAACCUCCGCCUCCUGGGCUCAAGCAAUUCUCCUACCUCAGCCUCCCAAGUAGCUGGGACCACAGACAUGUUCC